rnacentral:rRNA from 1 species
GUAGUCCACGCCGUAAACGGUGGGCGCUAGAUGUGGGGACCCUUCCAUGGUUUCUGCGUCGCAGCUAACGCAUUAAGCGCCCCGCCUGGGGAGUACGGUCGCAAGACUAAAACUCAAAGGAAUUGACGGGGGCCCGCACAAGCAGCGGAGCAUGCGGCUUAAUUCGAUGCAACGCGAAGAACCUUACCUAGACUUGACAUAUACGGAAAACAUGCAGAGAUGUAUGGUCCUAACGGGCCGUUUACAGGUGGUGCAUGGUUGUCGUCAGCUCGUGUCGUGAGAUGUUGGGUUAAGUCCCGCAACGAGCGCAACCCUCGUUCUAUGUUGCCAGCACGUAAUGGUGGGGACUCAUAGGAGACUGCCGGGGUCAACUCGGAGGAAGGUGGGGAUGACGUCAAAUCAUCAUGCCCCUUAUGUCUAGGGCUGCACGCAUGCUACAAUGGCUGGUACAAAGGGCUGCGAUACCGCAAGGUGGAGCGAAUCCCAAAAAGCCAGUCUCAGUUCGGAUUGGGGUCUGCAACUCGACCCCAUGAAGUUGGAGUUGCUAGUAAUCGCAGAUCAGCAACGCUGCGGUGAAUACGUUCCCGGGCCUUGUACACACCGCCCGUCACGUCACGAAAGUCGGUAACACCCGAAGCCGUGGCCUAACCGUAAGGA